AGUGAACGCUGGCGGUAGGCCUAACACAUGCAAGUCGAACGGCAGCACAGUAAGAGCUUGCUCUUACGGGUGGCGAGUGGCGGACGGGUGAUGAAUACAUCGGAAUCUACUUUUUCGUGGGGGAUAACGUAGGGAAACUUACGCUAAUACCGCAUACGACCUACGGGUGAAAGCAUGGGAUCUUCGGACCUUGCGCGAUUGAAUGAGCCGAUGUCGGAUUAGCUAGUUGGCGGGGUAAAGGCCCACCAAGGCGACGAUCCGUAGCUGGUCUGAGAGGAUGAUCAGCCACACUGGAACUGAGACACGGUCCAGACUCCUACGGGAGGCAGCAGGGGGGAAUAUUGGACAAUGGGCGAAAGCCUGAUCCAGCCAUACCGCGUGUGUGAAGAAGGUCUUCGGUUUGUAAAGCACUUUUAUUGGGAAAGAAGGGCAGUAGGUUAAUACCCCGCUGUUUUGACGUUACCAAAAGAAUAAGCACCGGCUAACUUCGUG
rnacentral:rRNA from 1 species